rnacentral:lncRNA from 1 species
GACUGGAGUUUAUCUAUUACUGAUCUUGCAUGUGUUUGGAAUGUCUAACAGAGCUAACUUCACUGACUGAAACUCAUAUUGAGAUGAGUUGGACCUUUCCACACGUUAUACCAAGCACAAAAGUUUUCUGUCUCUGUGCCAUCGAUCGACGAAGAGGUGCUUACGUCGAUAAACAAAUGGGUGCUAUUGUCGAUCGACAAAGAUUUACUCAUGUCGAUCGACAUUCGAGACAAAAGGGUACGCACAUUCUUUUCUCUUGUCUAACAUCUAACUUAGUACUUAUGAUUUAUUCUCUAACCAAUCUUAGACUGGAUAUCACUGGGGACAGUGAAGUUUAAGUUUGGGGGAGGUAUUUACUGAUACUAGUUUGUUAUAUGAUUUCUAUUUAAAAAAUGUUUCCAAAGAAAAAAAAUGUUUUAUCGAGUCAAGAAGGGGAUAAUGAACUUCUUCAAAGUUUUCACUUGUCAUCUAACGACUCUAUAACGCCACUCUUACACUAACUGGCUGCAGAAAGCACUAUAGAUACUAAAGUGGAUUAACAUAUCAACUAUGACAACACUUUCUGAGAAUGUUUGAAGAAACCAAUGCUGACCUCGAACCUAAUUGAUCUCAACUCUCCUUGUCUUGGGGCUUGCUAUACAUUGAAUCGGAUUCCUCUUUCAGGCAUUCAAAAAAAAAGAUUGAAAUGAUUUCCUGCGGUUUAGAGAGAUAGGAGUGUCUCCUUCGACACCAUUAUUCUUCUCUAAUGGAAUGAUCACACAUCGUUGGAAGCGAGGGGUAGGUACAUUACCGAUGACCUCACUAUUCGCCUACACUUUGCCAAUGUAAGAAAAUUGAAAAGAAGAUGAAUAAGAUGCACUGCAUCAGCAUCAUUUUUCAUUGGAUUUGAGAUAAAAGGAUUCAGAGAAGAGAGAUAUAGGGAGAAAAGAAACCUAGAAUAAGACUACGUGUCUACUCAGAUACCUGCUUGGGUAAGAGUCCAUGUGUCCUUUGAUCGAUACUCCCAAGAUUUAGCCUACACUUUUAUUUAUGCAAGAAAUAAGGUUAGUAGAGGAUAAUGUCAGAUAAGAUAUGUUCAGUUGUUGGCUAGGUGAAUUUGGUUGCUAUACUAGGAUAAUGUAUGAUGUGUUUCUAAAGUUAGGAUUUCAUUGAUGCGAUUAGCAACAUUAUAAAAGUGAUGAUUCUUAGUUUUAAC